GCGAGAUAGCUCAGCUGGUUAGAGCGUCGGAUUCAUAAUCCGGAGGUCGUGGGAUCAUACCCCACUCUCGC
rnacentral:tRNA from 1 species